GGCAUGGGGGGGCUUAGUGGUUAGCACUGUUGCCUCACACCGCCAGGGUUGGAGGUUCGAAUCCUGCCUCCGCCC